rnacentral:rRNA from 1 species
CCUACGGGAGGCAGCAGUGAGGAAUAUUGGUCAAUGGGCGCGAGCCUGAACCAGCCAAGUCGCGUGAAGGAUGACGGCCCUACGGGUUGUAAACCUCUUUUAUAAAGGAAUAAAGUGCGGGACGUGUCCCGUUUUGCAUGUACCUUAUGAAUAAGGAUCGGCUAACUCCGUGCCAGCAGCCGCGGUAAUACGGAGGAUCCGAGCGUUAUCCGGAUUUAUUGGGUUUAAAGGGUGCGUAGGUGGGUUGUUAAGUCAGUGGUGAAAGUUUGCGGCUCAACCGUAAAAUUGCCGUUGAUACUGGCAGCCUUGAGUACGGUUGAGGUAGGCGGAAUGCGUGGUGUAGCGGUGAAAUGCUUAGAUAUCACGAAGAACUCCGAUUGCGAAGGCAGCCUACUA